UCACCGUGCACAAGUUUUUUUUUUAAAAACGAAAAAAAGUAGCAUAUUAUCCUCUUUAUUUAUUUGUUUAGAAAUAAGUUUAGCUGAAAAUGUGAAUCAAUUAGUAUUCGAACUUGGAAUCUCGGAUACCAACUAUCGAGUCCUUUACCACUUGAGCUAGGUACAGUCGGUCAUCCUAAACCGUGUACGAGUUUUGCUCAUGAUCUACAACUCGAUGCCUAAUCCAUGACGCACUUAUAUAUUCCUUUUCCUUUUCCAUCCGACCAUCAUGUCAAAAAUUUACAUAUAGCUACCGACUGUCCUUAUAGCACAAAUGACUAAGAGCUUGAAGAUUGAUAUCUGAGGUUUCAAAUUCGAAAUCUAGUUAUUUCAUAUUUUUAAUUAAAUUUAUUUUUUUUGAAAAGAACAAAAUAAGUAGCAUUCUGUCUUUACGUCAGAGAUAUAUGAGUUCAU
rnacentral:lncRNA from 1 species